UACAGGGGGUGCAAACGUUGCUCGGAAUCAUUGGGCGUAAAGCGUGCGCAGGCGGCUUCUCAAGUCAGGGGUGAAAGCCCAGAGCUCAACUCAAGAAGUGCCCCUGAAACGGCGAGACUCGAGUACUGGAGAGGCUAGUGGAAUUCCCGGUGUAGCGGUGAAAUGCGUAGAGAUCGGGAGGAACACCAGAGGCGAAGGCGGCUAGCUGGACAGUUACUGACACUCAACUACGAAAGCGUGGGGAGCAAACAGG
rnacentral:rRNA from 1 species